rnacentral:rRNA from 1 species
CUACGGGAUGCUCCAGUGAGGAAUAUUGCACAAUGGGGGGAACCCUGAUGCAGCAACGCCGCGUGGAGGAUGACGCAUUUCGGUGUGUAAACUCCUUUUAUAUGUCAAGAAAAUGACGGUAGCAUACGAAUAAGCACCGGCUAACUCCGUGCCAGCAGCCGCGGUAAUACGGAGGGUGCAAGCGUUACUCGGAAUCACUGGGCGUAAAGGACGCGUAGGCGGGUUGGAAAGUCAGGUGUGAAAUCCUACGGCUUAACUGUAGAACUGCACUUGAAACUUCUAAUCUAGAGUAUGGGAGGGGGAGAUGGAAUUAGUGGUGUAGGGGUAAAAUCCGUAGAUAUCACUAGGAAUACCUAAAGCGAAGGCGAUCUCCUGGAACAUAACUGACGCUAAGGCGUGAAAGCGUGGGGAGCAAACAGGAUUAGAUACCCUCGUAGUC